AGACAGCAGCCGCCGCGGUAAUACGAAGGGUGCAAGCGUUAAUCGGAAUUACUGGGCGUAAAGCGUGCGUAGGCGGUGAGUUAAGUCUGCUGUGAAAUCCCCGGGCUCAACCUGGGAAUGGCAGUGGAUACUGGCUCGCUAGAGUGUGUCAGAGGAUGGUGGAAUUCCCGGUGUAGCGGUGAAAUGCGUAGAGAUCGGGAGGAACAUCAGUGGCGAAGGCGGCCAUCUGGGACAACACUGACGCUGAGGCACGAAAGCGUGGGGAGCAAACAGGAUUAGAGACCCCCGUAGUCCCUGUCUCUUAUAC
rnacentral:rRNA from 1 species